ensembl:lncRNA
AUGGAGCAUGUCUUCAACCUGAGCCUAAAGCUGAGGGUGGUACCACAGCUCUGGAAGACCUCCUGCGUGGUACCAGUGCCCAAGACACCGCACGCCAAAGACCCCAGCAGCUUCAGACCAGUGGCUCUGACAUCACACCUGAUGAAGACACUGGAGAGACUGGUCCUGGGUCACCUCCGCUCUGCAGUGGGAACCUACCUGGACCCGCUGCAGUUCGCCUACCGACACGGCAUAGGAGUAGACGACGCUGUCAUCUUCCUCCUACAUCGAGCCCUUUCCCACCUAGAGAAGCCCGGCAGCACUGUGAGGAUCAUGUUCUUUGACUUCUCCAGUGCCUUCAACACCAUCCAGCCGAUGCUUCUGAAACACAAACUGGAGGAGGCUGGUGUGGACCUUCAUCUGACGGAGUGGAUUAUGGACUAUCUCACAAACAGGCCUCAGUUUGUGAGAGCCAGGGACUGUGUGUCUGACACUCUGACCUGCAGUGUGGGGGCCCCACAGGGGACUGUACUGGCCCCCUUCCUUUUCACCCUCUACACGUCAGACUUCAGACACAACACGGACAGCUGUGUUCUGCAGAAGUUCUCUGAUGACUCUGCGAUCGUCGGACUGAUCACCGAUGAUGGCGAUGCAGAGUACAGAGGACUCACUCAGAACUUUGUGGACUGGUGCCAGCGGAACCACCUCCUGAUCAAUGUAGGGAAAACGAAGGAGAUGGUGGUGGAUUUCCGCAGACAGCAGCCUGCUGUCAUCCCACCGAUGCACAUCCAGGGAAGGGACAUUGAGAGAGUGGACUCUUACAAGUACCUGGGAGUGCAUCUGAACAAUAAACUGGACUGGACUCAUAACACGGAUGCACUGUACAGGAAGGGUCAGAGCAGACUCUACCUGCUGAGGAGACUGUGGUCUUUUGGAGUGAAGGGGCCACUCCUGAAGACCUUCUAUGACUCUGUGGUGGCAUCAGCCAUCCUGUACGGUGUGGUCUGCUGGGGCAGCAGCAUCACAGCGAGGGACAGGAAGAGACUGGACAGGAUCAUCAAGAAUUCCAGCUCUGUCCUGGGCUGCACUCUGGACACGGUGCAGGAGGUGGGUGAGAGAAGGGUCCUGGCUAAACUGACAUCCAUCAUGGACCAGGUCUCUCACCCACUGGAGGACUCACUGUCUACUCUGGAGAGCAGCUUCAGUAGCAGUCUGAUCCACCCUCGCUGUGUGAAGGAGAGAUAUCGUAGAUCCUUCCUACCUGCUGCUGUCAGACUGUACAAUCAGAGCUGUUGA